AUUUAUAUAGUUUAAAAAACGUUAUAUUUUCAAUAUAAAAUUAAUGAACCACCAUUUAUAAAUU
rnacentral:tRNA from 1 species